rnacentral:sRNA from 1 species
ACCAGACGUCCUCUUGGCUUCGAGAUGGCUUCGUGAGAGUGCCUCUGAUUGCAGGUGAGUACCCCGGGGCUGGCUCCUCCAGUGUCUUCUCAGUCCUGAGCAACAGUGCAGAGGUGAAACGGGAGCGCCUGGAAGAUGUGGUGGGAGGCUGUUGCUAUCGGGUCAACAACAGCUUGGACCAUGAGUACCAACCACGGCCCGUGGAGGUGAUCAUCAGUUCUGCGAAGGAGAUGGUUGGUCAGAAGAUGAAGUACAGUAUUGUGAGCAGGAACUGUGAGCACUUUGUCACCCAGCUGAGAUAUGGCAAGUCCCGCUGUAAACAGGUGGAAAAGGCCAAGGUUGAAGUCGGUGUGGCCACGGCGCUUGGAAUCCUGGUUAUUGCUGGAUGCUCUUUUGCGAUUAGGAGAUACCAAAAAAAAGCGACAGCCUGAAGCAGCCACAAAAUCCUGUGUUAGAAGCAGCUGUGGGGGUCCCAGUGGAGAUGAGCCUCCCCCACGCCU